GGAAAUGUAGCUCAGUGGGUAGAGCAGCUGACUCAUCAUCAGCCGGUCGAGGGUUCGACUCCCUCCUUUUCA
rnacentral:tRNA from 1 species